UGGCACAGUGGUUAAGAAUCCACCUGCCGAUGCAGGAGACACAGGUUCAAGCCCUGGUCCGGGAAGAUCCCACAUGCCGCGGAGCAACUAAGCCCGUGCGCCACAACUACUGAGCCCACGUGCCACAACUACCGAAGCCCGCGCGCCUAGGGCCCGUACUCCGUAACAAGAGAAGCCACCGCAAUGAGAAGCCCGUGCUUCGCAACGGAGAGUAGCCCCCGCUUGCCACAACUAGAGGAUCCCCGUGCGCAGCAGCGGAGACCCAAUGCAGCCAAAAAAGACGAGAUAAAGUAUAUGCUUGGAGGGGAUGCUGAGUGAACACAUUAGGAAGAUGAGACAUACUGUUUCCUUAACAGACAGCAGAGUCCUGAGGGAACGGGAUACAGAACAAGUACCACGUGAUGCUCAGAUGAGGCACGACAGGAGGAUGGGAUGACCUGGUACAAAGAGGACUCUGGGAUAUGAAGCCGAAGGGCAGUACAAGGACACUAAUGAUGGGGACCAAGGAAAAACCAGAGCAGAGGCAGAGAGGUCCCAAAGCCAAGGCUGAUUUACCCGACACUUUUGAGGAUGGCCAGUGUUCCACUCGCUACCUCACACUGCGUGUCCAUCCCCUUACCAUCCGUGUCCCCAAGCUUCUUGACAAGGGUGUGCUCUCACACCACGUCCCCUGCCUGCCUGCCUGCCAUGUAUAAGACGGAAGACCAGAAGCGCAGAGGACGGAGGGCCUGAGGGCUUGCUAGUGGCCAGGACGAGAAAGAAGGAAGGAAGAAAGAUGGGGGGAUGGGAGGACAAGAGGGGUAGGAGGAAAGAGAAAAGGGGGUAUUCAGCAUAGGAGUGGACCUUCGUUACAAUCCUACAGCUUCAUUUUCCAGAGAAGGAACCAGGCCCAAAGAGGCUGUGAACUGGGCCAGAUCACUUAGGUAGGUAGCGACAGAAGUGAAACUCUCACCCAGACCUCAGAUUUCCAACUCAGCGUCCAUUCAUCUAGUUUAUAAGAGGAAAGGAAAGGGUAGAAGUACCAAAUAUCACCAAUAAUGAAAGCGCAAAAUGCAAAUGAAAAACAGAAAAACUCUUCACAGGAAAUUGAGAAGAUUCUAAAAGUCAGUCUAUUUAGUCUUUAUGACAAAAUAAUAGAACCCGAGGCAGUGAACUAAAGAAAGCAUCCUGAGUCUGGUCGGAGCAAACCCUGACUUCUCCACUGACAGGCAGUGUGACCGGGGGCAAAUUUCUAAACCUGUCCAGGCCUCAGUUUCCUUAAUCAUGAAAUAGGGAUAAUGGUAGCAUCACCCCUCACACACAUUUUGUGAAGAUCAAAAAAUCGUGAUCCGUGGCAAAGAGCUUUCGCAACAGUGUCUGGAGUAUAAACACUUAAUAAGCCUUUGUGGUUACUAUUAUGAUGAUUACUACAGAGCUACUACAACCAGGGACAAACUCGUUUUUCUUACUAGAAAAAUGCAGUAAAAAAUAUUCAUUGGUGGUUUCUCUGUAUGGGCAAGCGUAUCUAUUUUCUUUGGGGCUAAAUGAGUUUAUCUUUCUGAGUUUCCCACAAUAUAAAAAGCAUCCUUUUGCUUUUGUCUUUGGUGAAGCGUGCUUCCUUCUGAUGUCACCUUACUCUUUCUUCCACUGCAGAGAAAGUCCCAGUCUCAGUUUCACAACUAAAUGAAAGGUUGCUUCUUAGCAGAGUGGCACAAGUUCUCACCACGCUACCAGGGCCGAGGUGUAGGAUGGAAACAAGGAGGCGGUGACAUUUCUACAUUUCAUUACUCUUGUUUUCCGCAGGAAGUCAACUGGACUUGGAUUAGAGCUGAGAUUAGGAAUCCUCAGUCGGAAAGAGUUCAUGUGGCACCAUACAUUUUUCACCAUCUGUAAAAUGGGUACCACAACGUUGAACCAAUUAAUAUGAAAGGGGAACAGCAGGCUCCUGGGUUCCAGCAGUGUUAUUUCUUCGACCUCUCAGGAAUGAAAAGGUUACGCUGUAGACACCUGGAUAGUGUCCGUGUCUAAGAGAAAUACAUCAAGGAAAAGUGGAAACCAGGGCUGGAUAAUUGGAAGGAGCUAGAGACUUUUCCUCUGUCUCCUGGUCAUUCUCCUGCAUGAAGCCUUUGUUUUUUGUGGCCUGGUAAGUCUGGACCCCUAUUUUCAAGGCAUAGUUCUUCUUUUUUUUGGCCGUGUUGGGUCUUCGUUGCUGCGCGCGGGCUUUUCUCUAGUUGCGGUGAGCGGGGGCUACUCUUUGUUGCGGUGCGCGGGCGUCUCAUUGCGGUGGCUUCUCUUGUUGCAGAGCACGGGCUCUAGGCACGCGGGCUUCAGUAGUUGUGGCUCGCAGGCUCAGUAGUUGUGGCUCACGGGCUUAGUUGCUCCGCGGCACGUGGGAUCUUCCCGGACCAGGGCUCGAACCCGUGUCCCCUGCAUUGGCAGGAGGAGUCUUAACCACUGCACCAGCAGGGAAGCCCCAGGCACAGUUCUUCUUGAUGAGGAGAUAGCAGAGGUUUCCAACCAAGAAAAAUCUUCCAUUGACCACCCGGAACUGUUUUCCAUUUCCUUUCGAGAGAAUUCUUACAGUGGAGAGGAAGUGUUCUGUCACAUACGGGCCCCACGAAGUCCCUUCUUCUCCCCACCCCUAACUUUCUGCUCCCGGCAGAUAGGAGCUGAUGCCAGGGCCCGCAAUUAUCAGCAGUGCCAUACAGCACCACCGCUGGUCUCUCCACGAUGACUUUUCAUAGGACUGUUUUUCACCUUUUCACAAUGGGUGUCUUUCCCCAGCCCUCACCAUCAAGUGGUAUCUUUAUGCAGCAGUAUACAUGGUGUUUAUGAUGACAGCACACGCCUCUUACAACUGUAACACAGUAUUUGGCAUGGGAUUCAACUUUUUGCCUGAAAAAAGGUCACAGGAACAAGACCUCCAUCCAAACGCAGGGCUUCAGAAUGACACUAGUGGCAUCUGAAGCCGUGUCUGGUGCCUCCAGAUCCACCCUGUAUGCUGGUGAGAUAACUGGCUGGUGGGGGCCCACCACAGCAGGGGCGGCCCGCGUGGCUAUCCGAGGGGUGUGGGCAAGAUGAGUGGUGACUGGGCGUCUAGUCUGUUGAGAUACUGCCAGGCACCGUGGGCCAGGGGCCAAGGAUCUGCUUCCUGCCCUUGCUGGCUUGACAUGCUAGAGAUGCCCUGUCAGACAGGCAGAGGCAAGAUGUUCCCCUCACGAGUCAAAGCUAAGCAAACGCAAAACAACUUGAUUCUCAUGGUAACAAAACUGGCCUGUUUGGGGUCUACCCAGUUUAAGGCUUGUGCCCGUCCUGGCCCACCAGGUUUGGGGGAAGAGGGUGUCCUGACUGGAGGACACGUUUAACGUCCUCUGCCCUCUGGAGGGCUGGCUGCGAGACACCCAGGACCCCGUGGCUUCUGCAGAUGGCAGAAAGUACACAGAUAACAAGCACAAGGGCAGUGCUGGGAAGCUGGUCUCCUCAGAUUCAGGAAGUCAAGAGGGAGGGUAGCUAACCCUUCCAUAGAACUUGGGGGUAUGUGCGUGGGAAUUAUGGGGAUGGGCAGAGGGUGGGCUGAAGAACAGCCCCACAAAAGAUAUCCACAUCCUGACCCCUGGGACCUGUGAUUGUAACAUUAUAUUGCAAAAAAGGACAUUGCAGAUGUGAUUACAUAAGGAUCCUGAGACAGGGAGAGUAUCCUGAAUUAUCCAGGUGGAUGCUAAGGGCAAUCACAGGUGUCCUUAUAAGAGGGAGGCAGAGGGAGAUUUGACACGGACAGGAGAGAAAGAUCAGUGAGGCAGAGACUGGAAGGAUGUGGCCACGGGCCAAGGGGUGCCGGCUGCCCCAGAAGCUGGAGGAGGCAAGGAGCAGAUUCUCCUUAGGGCCUCUGGAAGGAGCACAGUCCUGCUAACCCCUUGCCUUUAGGCCAAAAUCAAAUCAGCGAUACUGAUUUUGACUGCUUUCGGCCUACUGACCUGCGGUACUGUGAGAAAACAGAUUUCUGUUGUUUAAGCCAGGGGUCCCCAACCCCCAGGCCACAGGCAGGUGCUGCUCUGUGGCCUGUUAGGAACCGGGCCGCGCAGCGGACGGUGAGCGGCGGGCCUGUGAGCGAAGCUCGCGUUACCGCUCAUGGAAAAACAGUCAUCCACGAAACCAGUCCCUGGUGCCAAAAAGGUUGGGGACCACUGGUAAGCCACCAAGUCUGUGGUUAUUUGUUACAGCAGCAACGAGAAACUAAGCUACAGUUUAGGUAGAUGGGCCAGUUGAUAAGACUUCUGACUCAGUUCCAACAAGCAUUAUAGUGGGGGAGCAAUAAAAGAGAACAAGCAUUUCAUAGUAUUAUAUUCACUACGUGGAGCCAGUAUCAAAAUUCGGAACGAACACACACGCCCACCCCUCCUGGAUGUGAAUCAGCAAGUGCUCUUAUCUAGCUUUGCAGCGUUAGGCCAUCUCUAGAGUAAUUCACUGCAAAUUGGAACAGGCAGCUGUGAAUUGAAAAAGAGAAGUGUGGGACCAUCUCCCCCAGCUUAAUCGGGGAGAGCCCAAGAAGGCAUCGCGGCCGCACGAUGGAGACAAGAAGGGAAGCAGAGGAAGAUGAGGAGAGGCUUCCCUUUGAGGUGUGCACACCCUGGUCAGCGGGGAGAGGAACACACGCCUCAGAACAAGGGAAGGGAAGGACCUGCCUGCACCUCUAAGAAGCUGCUCGCUCAGGAAGAAUAAGGGGUGAAGGAAGGCCUGACCCUUUUUCUGUUCCAUCUUAAAACUCUUUCCUAGGGAUAAGUGGUAUCCUCCCGGGCGGUGAUUUAUUUGUAAAAAGAGGACUACAGGGGCA